rnacentral:misc_RNA from 1 species
GAUGAAGAACGCAGCGAAACGCGAUAAGUAAUGUGAAUUGCAGAAUCCAGUGAAUCAUCGAAUCUUUGAACGCACAUUGCGCCCGCUGGUAUUCCGGCGGGCAUGCCUGUUCGAGCGUCAUUUCAACCCUCAAACCCCCGGGUUUGGUGUUGGGGAUCGGCUCUGCCUCACGGCGGUGCCGCCCCCGAAAUACAUUGGCGGUCUCGCUGCAGCCUCCAUUGCGUAGUAGCUAACACCUCGCAACUGGAACGCGGCGCGGCCAUGCCGUAAAACCCCAACUUCUGAAUGUUGACCUCGGAUCAGGUAGGAAUACCCGCUGAACUUAAGCAUAUCAAUAAGCGGAGGA